UACGAAGGGUGCAAGCGUUAAUCGGAAUUACUGGGCGUAAAGGGUGCGUAGACGGCCUAUUAAGUCGACUGUGAAAGUCCUGGGCUCAACCUGGGGACUGCAGUUGAUACUGAUGGGCUUUGAGUUUGGGAGAGGGUGGUGGAAUUCCCGGUGUAGCGGUGAAAUGCGUAGAGAUCGGGAGGAACAUCCGUGGCGAAGGCGGCCACCUGGCCUGAAACUGACGUUGAGGCACGAAAGCGUGGGGAGCAAA
rnacentral:rRNA from 1 species